AGAGUUUGAUCAUGGCUCAGGAUGAACGCUGGCGGCAUGCCUAAGACAUGCAAGUCGAACGAGAUGGCCUAUUGAAGAGUUUAUGCUUGCAUAAUCCCGGAUAUAGAUUCCCAUCAGUGGCAGACGGGUGAGUAACACGUGGGUAACCUACCUUUAAGUUGGGGAUAACAGUUGGAAACGAUUGCUAAUACCGAAUAAGAUAUAAGAGUUAAUCUUAUAUUGAAAGGAGCCUUUAAAGCUCCACUUAAAAAUGGGCCUGCGGCGUAUUAACUAGUUGGUGAGAUAAUAGCCCACCAAGGUAACGAUGCGUAGCCGAACUGAGAGGUUGAUCGGCCACACUGGGACUGAGACACGGCCCAGACUCCUACGGGAGACAGCAGUUAGGAAUAUUCGUCAAUGGGGGAAACCCUGAACGAGCAAUGCCGCGUGAGUGAUGAAGGUCCUAUGGAUUGUAAAACUCUGUUGUAUGGAAAAAAUGGCUAAAUUAGGAAAUGAAUUUAGUGUGAUGGUACCAUACCAGAAAGCUCCGGCUAACUACGUGCCAGCAGCCGCGGUAAUACGUAGGGAGCGAGCGUUAUCCGGAUUUAUUGGGCGUAAAGCGUGUGUAGGCGGUUAGUUAAGUUUAAGAUGAAAGCCUGGGGCUCAACUCCAGAUUGUCUUAAAAACUGGCUGACUAGAGUGUGGUAGAGGUAAACGGAACUUCUAAUGUAGCGGUGGAAUGCGUAGAUAUUAGAAAGAACACCAGUGGCGAAAGCGGUUUACUGGGCCACAACUGACGCUGAGGCACGAAAGCGUGGGGA
rnacentral:rRNA from 1 species